rnacentral:rRNA from 1 species
UACGUAGGGUGCGAGCGUUAAUCGGAAUUACUGGGCGUAAAGCGUGCGCAGGCGGUUCGUUAAGACAGAUGUGAAAUCCCCGGGCUUAACCUGGGAACUGCAUUUGUGACUGGCGAGCUAGAGUAUGGCAGAGGGGGGUAGAAUUCCACGUGUAGCAGUGAAAUGCGUAGAGAUGUGGAGGAAUACCGAUGGCGAAGGCAGCCCCCUGGGCCAAUACUGACGCUCAUGCACGAAAGGCGUGGGGAGCAAACAGG